CAGCUUCUCUUCUCUGGUAGGCGCUACAGAACACUGUUCGCCAAAACAACCAGACAACACCAACAGGUUGUGACA